rnacentral:miRNA from 1 species
GCACAUAUAUAAAAACUACAAAGGCAUUGUGGAUUGCCGUCAUAUAUAAAUAUAUAUAUAUGACGGCAAUCCACAAUGCCUUUGUAUUUUUUAAAAAGGCAAAU